rnacentral:rRNA from 1 species
UACGUAGGGUGCAAGCGUUAAUCGGAUUUACUGGGCGUAAAGGGCGCGUAGGCGGUCAGCACAAGUCAGUUGUGAAAUCUCCGGGCUUAACUCGGAAAGGUCAACUGAUACUGUGCGACUAGAGUGCAGAAGGGGCAACUGGAAUUCUCGGUGUAGCGGUGAAAUGCGUAGAUAUCGGGAGGAACACCUGUGGCGAAAGCGGCUCACUGGACCACAACUGACGCUGAUGCACGAAAGCUAGGGGAGCAAACAGG